AUGCAUCUCUGACAGACCUGAAGGAGUUAAUUGUCUGCUGCUAAGUUUUCCACUACAGAUGCAAGAAAAAUAAUGUUCUCAUGCUUUCUGCCUAUCUGCUUGUAGCAGCCAAGAUAGAAUGGGGAAAUAUCAGA
rnacentral:snoRNA from 1 species